rnacentral:rRNA from 1 species
GAUGAACGCUGGCGGCGUGCUUAACACAUGCAAGUCGAACGAAGCGCUUAAGCAGAUUUCUUCGGAAUGAAGCUUUUGUGACUGAGUGGCGGACGGGUGAGUAACGCGUGGGUAACCUGCCUCAUACAGGGGGAUAACAGUUAGAAAUGACUGCUAAUACCGCAUAAGCGCACAGCUUCGCAUGAAGCAGUGUGAAAAACUCCGGUGGUAUGAGAUGGACCCGCGUCUGGUUAGCUAGUUGGUAAGGUAACGGCUUACCAAGGCAACGAUCAGUAGCCGACCUGAGAGGGUGACCGGCCACAUUGGGACUGAGACACGGCCCAA